CAGCGUGGCCAAAAAAUUAAAAAAAAUAAAAUAAAAUAAACAGGUGACUCUGGCUGCAGAGAGAGGAGGGGACACACCUGGAGGUGAGAGGCCAGGGGACCCACUGCUGGAAGCCUGGAGAGGUGACAGAGGCCUGUGGACCACGGCUCCCUUCUCUCCAUCAGCACCAAUCAUCCACAACUGAGUCUGUAAUGAAAGCUGCGUGCCCUUUGCCAAAUCUGAUUUGGCACCAAGCGGCAGCUCCUCUGCCCAAGGAGAGCUUUUCAGGGACCAAGCCCUCUGUGGGAUGCCUUUCUGGAGACAAGAAAGAAGAGAGAAAGCUGAAGGUGGCAGAGCCACUGAGAUGUCUAAAGGCAGCUGCUUGACGGGCCCUGCCCACUCCCUUUCUCCUGCAGAGUUGUGUCCACCUGGAAGUCAGAAGGGCCAUGAGAGCCACCUACACCCACCUGACCCGCGUAACCCAGGGGAGCUGGCCUUAAUCCUGGCCUCAAAGGAACCUGGAUCAUAAUUGGUAAGGUUAGAUUACUCAGGCCAACGCGCCUCCCUUCACAGAUACAGAAACUAGGGCUGGUGGAGUCUCAGGGCAAGUACAGAACCCGCUGGCAGCCAGGUCACCUGA